rnacentral:rRNA from 1 species
GGAUCGCAGUCUGCAACUCGACUGCGUGAAGGUGGAGUCGCUAGUAAUCGCGGAUCAGCAACGCCGCGGUGAAUGCGUUCCCGGGCCUUGUACACACCGCCCGUCAAGUCAUGAAAGUGGGCAGCACCCGAAGACGGUGGCCUAACCCUUGUGGGGGGAGCCGUCUAAGGUGAGGCUCGUGAUUGGGACUAAGUCGUAACAAGGUAUC